UACGAAGGGAGCUAGCGUUGUUCGGAAUCACUGGGCGUAAAGCGCACGUAGGCGGAUGUGUCAGUCAGGGGUGAAAUCCCGGAGCUCAACUUCGGAACUGCCUUUGAUACAGCACGUCUUGAGUCCGAUAGAGGUGGGUGGAAUUCCUGGUGUAGCGGUGAAAUGCGCAGAUAUCAGGAGGAACACCAAUGGCGAAGGCAGCUCGCUGGAACGGUACUGACGCUGAGGCGCGAAAGCGUGGGGAGCGAACAGG
rnacentral:rRNA from 1 species